rnacentral:rRNA from 1 species
UACAGAGGGUGCAAGCGUUGUUCGGAAUUAUUGGGCGUAAAGGGCGCGUAGGCGGCGCGGUAAGUCGGGUGUGAAAUCUCGGAGCUUAACUCCGAAACUGCAUUCGAUACUGCGGUGCUUGAGGACUGGAGAGGAGACUGGAAUUCAUGGUGUAGCAGUGAAAUGCGUAGAGAUCAUGAGGAAGACCAGUGGCGAAGGCGGGUCUCUGGACAGUUCCUGACACUGAGGCACGAAGGCCAGGGGAGCAAACGGG